rnacentral:RNase_MRP_RNA from 1 species
UGGAAGUUACAAGGUUUGGAGUAGGAGUUUGAUAGUCUCAUUUCAACUAUUAAAAAUUCCUGGGAAAUUCCUCGAACCAUUAGAUAGAAAGUAUCAAUCCUAAGUGGAUGAGGAAUAUGUUUGAUUGUCCGGACGUUGAUCUGUUUGGAGAGUCCUAUGUUCAAUUAAACUAUUCCUUCGUUGUAGGUACAGUAAUCCAAACAAGAAUAACUUAAUGAGGGUCACUCUGUGACUUCC